UACGAAGGAAGCGACGGCCGAACACGUGUCGCCCAAGGAGUCACAGACGCGGUAAGGGUGCGUUUGAUUUGCUGCAGCGUCGUCACGUGGCCGUUCGCGGGGAUCCGACCGCGUGGAUUCGACGGGUCUCGUGCUUUAAGAUGGCCGAAGUGCAGGACACGUGGAGGCGGGAGGGCGGGGAUUCUCUUAUAUCUUUUCCGUGGCCCAAAAAAUAUCUGCGUCCGCACGUGCCCUCUCCCGGAUCGGGUGGAGGCGACGUGUCGAGAGGAGCGGCCCCCGCGGAGGGUUCGUACACAACGCGGGCGCGAUCGUAGCCGUACACGUUCUGAUGUUUCUAAGACGUGUAAUCUUUUGACGCGGUGUGGUCGCCACGUGUACGAGAAAAAAGGUGGGUGCAAAAUAGAAUAAAAUUAUUUUUUUAAAAAUAUGUUUACCCCUCUACUCGAAGCUUUUAAAAUUAUUCUAAACAUGGAACAUAUUGAUCUUUCUAACCUCAUUGAAAAAAAGAAAGAACACAAAUAUGAUAUUAUCACAUGAUCAAAUGUGCUUGAGAGAUUGACCAUCGAAGAUCAAAUUAAUCAAACACGAUGAGCAUAUGGUGUUACGGACGUCACUCCAAGAUUAUCUCAAAGCAUAAUACGU
rnacentral:lncRNA from 1 species